rnacentral:rRNA from 1 species
UACGAAGGGGGCUAGCGUUGUUCGGAAUUACUGGGCGUAAAGCGCACGUAGGCGGAUAUUUAAGUCAGGGGUGAAAUCCCAGAGCUCAACUCUGGAACUGCCUUUGAUACUGGGUAUCUUGAGUAUGGAAGAGGUAAGUGGAAUUCCGAGUGUAGAGGUGAAAUUCGUAGAUAUUCGGAGGAACACCAGUGGCGAAGGCGGCUUACUGGUCCAUUACUGACGCUGAGGUGCGAAAGCGUGGGAGCAAACAGG